ACCAAGACUUUGAUGAACGCAGAGGAACAAUCUAGGAGCUCAGGUCCAGCUUGAUAGAUGAUGGAGACCACCUCACAUCUGCUCACACCAUAAUAACUGUGCAGGUCAUCCAGGGGGGUUACUAGAAAACCAACAUGGAUUUUGUGGGGACACAAAAGACAGUAACUGUGAAAUUCAGCCUGCAGACGUCUCUUCAAAAGGAAGCAGUAGAUUGGGGGCACCAUUGCCUCCAAGGCUGUGUGCAUUGACACCAAAGACAGUUCCCUCUCUGACUGGCUGGCCUUUUAAAACGACCUCUGAUUGUUAUGCAUAAGCUUUUGGGUAAUGCUAUCAUGGAUAGUACCCGGAACCUGAUGGACGUGACAUUUUGGCCUUCUCUCCUGAUGGUUCUGUAGCCUUUCUUAGACUUCUCCAGGGAUGAGCUUGAAGAUCCCCCAGAGUGAUAAGAAAGUCACAUUUUUAAGUUCACUUAUAUUAACAGUUCAGCCACAGUUAGCUACUGAAGUUCAAAUUUCUGUGACCACUUUGGAAAAAAACAAGAUCCUAAGAGGAUGGCAGAGAGAAGAUCCAAUGCCUCUAUCAAAGUAGCAAGGAUGGCCAACCGGGCAAGUACAGAGGACAUCACAAAGAAUCUUGGAACAACAGGUUGGCUCACAAAUGGCAGAAGAUCAAGGAAGAAUUAAACCCAUCUGCACUGCCCAGAUGGUCUCUGAGUUCUCCACACAUCUGUACCAGCCCCUCCUGCCACAUGGAGUCCUGGCAGGCUGUGAGCUCUCCUCUCACACAA
rnacentral:lncRNA from 1 species